rnacentral:rRNA from 1 species
UACGUAGGGUGCGAGCGUUAAUCGGAAUACUGGGCGUAAAGCGUGCGCAGGCGGUGAUGUAAGACAGGUGUGAAAUCCCCGGGCUUAACCUGGGAACUGCAUUUGUGACUGCAUCGCUGGAGUGCGGCAGAGGGGGAUGGAAUUCCGCGUGUAGCAGUGAAAUGCGUAGAUAUGCGGAGGAACACCGAUGGCGAAGGCAAUCCCCUGGGCCUGCACUGACGCUCAUGCACGAAAGCCGUGGGGAGCAAACAGG